AAAUUUUUUAUACUAUCUACAACAAGAUCAAUAUUUUUAUCGAAAAUUUUAGUGCUAUAUCAUCACUUUUUAUAUAAUUUUUAUUUUCAGCUGUUAAAAAUUAUUGAUUUUGAAUCCUCUCGAUUGCUAGGUAAAUGAUAUCGAAAAAUCGCAAAAAUUAUUUUCUAGAAACUUCAAAUACGCUAGAUCAAGUCUAACGGAGCCGAUCUUCGAUUCGGAAAUUCCAUCAUCGAAAACGGCUCAGGAGCAUGGAGGCCUCCGUGCUCCUGAGAGCACAGCAGUCCUGCUCU
rnacentral:lncRNA from 1 species